ACGGAAGGCAGCAGUGGGGAAUAUUGGACAAUGGGGGAAACCCUGAUCCAGCGACGCCGCGUGAGUGAAGAAGUAUUUCGGUAUGUAAAGCUCUAUCAGCAAGGAAGAAAAUGACGGUACUUGACUAAGAAGCUCCGGCUAAAUACGUGCCAGCAGCCGCGGUAAUACGUAUGGAGCAAGCGUUAUCCGGAUUUACUGGGUGUAAAGGGAGCGUAGACGGCAAAGCAAGUCCGAAGUGAAAUCCCGGGGCUCAACCCCGGAACUGCUUUGGAAACUGUUUAGCUAGAGUGCAGGAGAGGUAAGCGGAAUUCCUAGUGUAGCGGUGAAAUGCGUAGAUAUUAGGAGGAACACCAGUGGCGAAGGCGGCUUACUGGACUGUAACUGACGUUGAGGCUCGAAAGCGUGGGGAGCAAACAGGACUAGAUACCCUGGUA
rnacentral:rRNA from 1 species